GAUUAUGACCUGAGCUGAAGUCAAAUGCUUAACUGACUGAGCCACCCAGAUGCCCAAACUGGUUUAAAUUCUAACUUCAUCAAUUUAUUGGCUCUAUAACUUUGGACAAAUUAUUUAACCUCUCUUUACCAUUAUUUCCUCCUAGGUAAAAUGAGGAUAAUAAUAACUGCAGUUGACUCUUGAAUACAUGAGAGUUAGGGGAGCUGACCCCCCCCCAACUCAGUUGAAAAUCCACAUAUAACUUUGGACUCCUCAGAAGCCUAGCCUACUGUUGCUGGCAGUCUUUCUUUAAUAACAUAAAUAGUCGACUAACACAUAUUUUGUACGUUAAAUGUAUUAUAUACUGUAUUCUUACAAUAGAUUAUGCUAGAGAAAAAAUGUUAUUAAGAAAAUCAUAAAGAGGGAUGCCUAGCUGGCUCAGUCUGUAGAGCAUGUGACUCUUGAUCUAGGGGUCAUGAGUUCAAGCUUCACGUAGGGGUAUAGUUUACUUAAAAAAGAAUUCAUAAAAGAAAAUGCAUUACUGUAUUUAUUGAAAAAGUCUGUGUAUAAGUGGACCUGUGCUGUCCAAACCCAUGUCGUUUAUUGAGUAAGUUAUACACAUAAAAUAAUAAAACCUCUCUGGCUCAGAGUAAGUACUAUAUGGUUUAUUUAAAUCUGUAACAUUUUUUGAGAAAGCAUAAUCUUGGAAGCCACUUAUAUAUGUGUGUUUUGGAAAGUGGAUAAAUAAAAUGUAUCAUUGUCAUACAGUUGAGUACUAGAUAACCAUUAACAGGAUCUAGAUUAUUUAUAACAUGGACAGAUCUCAGAAACAGUGUUGAGUGAAAAAAGCCACGUAUGUUUUAGAAGCUUUGGAUAGGACAUUAUAUUAAGUGUGUAAUUUUUAUUUUAUAUUUUUUAAUGUUUAUUUUUGAGAUACAGAGUGCCAUUGGGGGAGGGGCAGAGAGAGAAGGAGACAGAGGAUCCAAAGUGGGCUCUGUGCUGACAGUAGCAAACCUGAUGUGGGUUUAAACUCACAAACUGUGAGAUCAUGACCUGAGCUCAACUACCUGAACCGUCCAAGUGCCCCUUAAAUGUGUAAUUUUUAGUUUAGAGAAUACUUUAAUAUUGAAAACUACAGGAAAAAAAAUCUAAUGAAUAUAAAAUUCUAUUUAUAUAACCCCAGAUUCAUUUAUAAGCCUAUCGGUUUGGCAUAUAUAGUUGUAAGGCUGAAUAUUCUAUUUCUACUUGUAGAAUUCUGCCCCCCAAAAAGGCAUUCAUAUGUAAAUUAUGCCAUGGCCUUUGUAUGGAAUGAAUAGUGGACAAAGAGUGUUGUAGAUGUGUAUAUGG